AUAGUUUGAUCCUGGCUAACAUUGACCGCUGGCGGGAUGCUUAACACAUGCAAGUCGAACGGUAACAGGCCUUCGGGCGCUGACGAGUGGCGAACGGGUGAGUAAUGCUUGGGAAUCUGCCCAGCAGCGGGGGACAACGUGGGGAAACUCACGCUAAUACCGCAUACGCCCUACGGGGGAAAGGCUUCGGCCACUAUUGGAUGAACCCAUGUCGGAUUAGCUAGUUGGUGAGGUAAAGGCUCACCAAGGCGACGAUCCGUAGCUGGUCUGAGAGGAUGAUCAGCCACACUGGAACUGAGACACGGUCCAGACUCCUACGGGAGGCAGCAGUGGGGAAUAUUGGACAAUGGGCGAAAGCCUGAUCCAGCAAUGCCGCGUGUGUGAAGAAGGCCUUCGGGUUGUAAAGCACUUUCAGUGGGGAGGAUAAUGACGUUACCCACAGAAGAAGCACCGGCUAACUCUGUGCCAGCAGCCGCGGUAAUA
rnacentral:rRNA from 1 species